rnacentral:rRNA from 1 species
AGGGUAUGAUCCCGGCUCAGGAUGAACGCUAGCGGCGCGCUUAACACAUGCAAGUCGUGCGAUCGGACCGGACCAACGUCCUUCGGGACGGCGGACCGGUUACGGAGCGGCGGACGGGUGAGUAACGCGUAGCUAACCUCCCGUCGGGCGGAGGAUAACACCGGGAAACUGGUGCUAACACUCCAUGAUAUCGGGGAACUUCAGGUUCCCUGAUCAAAGAUCCAUUUGGAACACCCGACGAUGGGGCUGCGUCCUAUUAGCUAGACGGUGAGGUAAAGGCUCACCGUGGCCAAGAUAGGUAGGGGGCCUGAGAGGGCGAUCCCCCUCACUGGGACUGAGACACGGCCCAGACUCCUACGGGAGGCUGCAGUGGGGAAUCUUGCGCAAUGGUCGAAAGGCUGACGCAGCGACGCCGCGUGGAGGACGAAGGCCUUCGGGUUGUAAACUCCUUUUCUGGGGGACGAAUAAGGCCAGCAGGCAAUGGUUGGCCGAUGACGGUACCCCAGGAACAAGCGCCGGCUAACUUCGUGCCAGCAGCCGCGGUAAGACGAAGGGCGCAAGCGUUAUCCGGAAUUACUGGGCGUAAAGGGCGUCUAGGCCGCCCGUCAAGUCGACGUUGAAAUUCCUCGGCUAAACUGAGGAAGGUACGUCGAAACUGGCAGGCUAGAGGGACGUAGAGGUAAGCGGAACUCUCGGAGUAGCGGUGAAUGCGUAGAGACCGAGAGGUACCCCCGAUGGUGAAGACAGCUUACUGGGCGUCUCCUGACGCUGAAGCGCUAAGGCCAGGGGAGCGAAGGGGAUUAGAUACCCCCGUAGUCCUGACUUCAAACGAUGUGGGCUAGGUAUCGGGACAUGAAGAGCUCGUUGCCGGAGUUAACGCGUUAAGCCCACCGCCUGGGGAUUACGUCCGCAAGGAUGAAACUCAAGGGAAUUGACGGGGGCCCACACAACCGGUGGAGCACGUGGUUUAAUUCGAUGAUAAGCGAAGAACCUUACCAGGGCUUGACCUAGCGGUAGUAGGACCCCGAAAGGGGAACGAACCGAAGCUUUGCUUCGGAAGCCGUGGCAGGUAUUGCAUGGCUGUCGUCAGCUCGUGUCGUGGGACGUUGGGUUAAGUCCCGUAACGAGCGCAACCCUUGCCCUUAGUUGCCAGCGCCGGGCGGGGACUUUAAGGGGACUGCCGGAGAAUAUCCGGAGGAAGGAGGGGACGACGUCAAGUCAUUAUGCCCCUUAUGCUCUGGGCGACACACGUGCUACAAUGGACACUACAGAGGGGAGCCAUCCCGCGAGGGUGAGCAAAUCUCAAAAAGGUGUCCCCAGUGCGGAUUGGGGUCUGCAACCGACCCCAUGAAGAUGGAAUCGGUAGUAAUCGCGGGUCAGCCAUACCGCGGUGAAUACGUACUUGGGCCUUGUACACACCGCCCGUCACACCAACCGAGUAGGCGACACCCGAAGUCGACGUAUGUUGCCGAAGGUGUUACCUGCAAGGGGGGUGAAGUCGUAACAAGGUAGCCGUAGGAGAACCUGCGGCUGGAUCACCUCCUUU